rnacentral:rRNA from 1 species
UACGAAGGGAGCUAGCGUUGUUCGGAAUUACUGGGCGUAAAGCGCACGUAGGUGGCGACGUAAGUCGGGUGUGAAAGCCCCGGGCUCAACCUGGGAAUUGCAUUCGAGACUGCAUUGCUGGAGUACGGAAGAGGAAGGCGGAAUUCCCGGUGUAGCGGUGAAAUGCGUAGAUAUCGGGAGGAACAUCAGUGGCGAAGGCGGCCUUCUGGUCCAGUACUGACACUCAAGUGCGAAAGCGUGGGGAGCAAACAGG